rnacentral:rRNA from 1 species
UCGGGAAUUUUGGGCAAUGGGGGAAACCCUGACCCAGCAACGCCGCGUGAAGGAUGAAGUAUUUCGGUAUGUAAACUUCGAAAGAAUAGGAAGAAUAAAUGACGGUACUAUUUAUAAGGUCCGGCUAACUACGUGCCAGCAGCCGCGGUAAUACGUAGGGACCAAGCGUUGUUCGGAUUUACUGGGCGUAAAGGGCGCGUAGGCGGCAUGACAAGUCACUUGUGAAAUCUCUGGGCUUAACCCAGAACGGCCAAGUGAUACUGUCGCGCUAGAGUGCAGAAGGGGCAAUCGGAAUUCUUGGUGUAGCGGUGAAAUGCGUAGAUAUCAAGAGGAACACCUGAGGUGAAGACGGGUUGCUGGGCUGACACUGACGCUGAGGCGCGAAAGCCAGGGGAGCAAACGGGAUUAGAUCCCUAGUAGUCCCUGAGCGGGCUGGCAAGGCGCAU